AUGCUGCAGCCAAUCAACGUCCGGGUUACCACCAUGGACACCGAGCUGAGUUGCCAUCCAGCCAAAUACCACCAGCAAGCAGCUUUCAAUCAGGUGGUUAAGACUAUAGACCUCCGGAAAGUGUGGUACUUUGGCCUCCAGUACGUGGACAAUAAAGGCUUUCCUACUUGGGUGAAACUUGAUAAAAACGUGUCUGCACAAGAGGCCAGGAAGCAGAACCCCUUCAAGUUCCAGGUAAGUUCUACCCUGAAGACGUGCCUGAGGAGUUCAUCCAGGACAGCCCGCAGAAGCUGUUCUCCUCUAGGUGGAGGAGGGCAUUCCUAGUGAUGAGAUCUACUGUCCCCCUGAGACAGCUGUGCUCCUGGGGUCCCACGCCAUGCAGGUCAAGUUCAGACUGCAACAAGGAGGUGCACAAGGCUGAGUACCUCAGCUCUGAGAGGCUGAUCCACAGAGAGUCAUGGACCAGCACAAACUCACAAGGGAUCAGUGGGAGGAUCGGAUCCAGUUGUGGCACGCAGAACACCGUGGGAUGCUCACAGAUAGUGCUAUGCUGGAGGACGUGAAGUUUGCUCAGGGCCUGGAGAUGUACAGAAUCAAUUAUUUCAAGAUCAAAAAUAAGAAAGGAACAGACCUUUGGCUUAGAGUUGAUGCCCUUGGACUAAAUAGUUAUGAGAAAGAUGAUAAGUUGACCCCAAAGAUUGGCUUUCCUUGGAGUGAAAUCAGAAACAUCUCUUUCAAUGACAAAAGUUUGUCACUAAGCCCAUUGACAAGAAAGCACCCGACCUUGUGUUCCCUGCCCCACCCCUGAGGAUUAACAAGAGGAUCCUGCAGCCGUGCAUGGGAAACCAUGAGCCCUACAUGCGCUGCAGGAAGCCUGACACCACUGAGGUGCAGCAGAUGGAGGCCCAGGCUUGGGAGGAGAAGCAUCAGAAGCAGCUGGAGCGGCAGCAGCUGGAGACAGAGAAGAAGAGGAGAGAGACUGUUGAGAGGGAGAAGGAGUGGAUGCUGAAGGAGAAGGAGGAGCUGGUGCUGCGGCUGCAGGACUAUGAGGAGACCAAGAAGGCAGAGAAAGAACUCGCCGACCAGAUUCAGAAAGCCUUCCAGCUAGAGGAUGAGGGAAGCGACCCAGGAGGAGGCCAAGCACCUGUAGGCCAGCUGCGUGGCUACCCUGCAGGCCAAGGCAGAUCUGGAGAGACAGGCAGUGGAUCAGAUAAAGAGCCAGGAGCAGCUGGCUGUGGAGCUUGCAGAGUACACUGCCAAGACUGCCCUGAUGGAGGAGGUGUGGUGGCACAAGGAGGGUAAGGUGGAGGAGUGGCAGCACAGGGCCAAAGACGCCCAGGACAACCUGGUGAAGACCCAGGAGAGCUGCACCUGGUGAUGACAUCCCGGCACCCCACUGCCGCCCAUGUAUGAGUAUGUGAGUUACCAUGUGCAUGAGAACCUGUGGGAGGAGGGCGCAGAGCCCAUGGGCUGCAGCACCGAGCUCUCCAGCAAGGCAUCCUGGACCACUGCAACAAGGAGAAGCACAUUACCACAGAGGCAGAGAACAAUGAGCGUGUGCAGUGGCAGCUGCUGACCAUGAGCAGCGAGUUGUCCCAGGCCAGAGAUGAAAGCAAGAGGACCCUCAAGGACAUCAUCCACAAUGAGAACAUGAGGCUAGGCUAGGGCAAGUAUAAGACCCUGUGCCGGAUCCAGCAGGGCAACACGAAGCAGCACACCGAUGAGUUUGAGGCCUUGUAG